rnacentral:rRNA from 1 species
UACGUAGGGGGCAAGCGUUAUCCGGAUUUACUGGGUGUAAAGGGAGCGUAGACGGCGGUGCAAGCCAGAUGUGAAAGCCCGGGGCUCAACCCCGGGACUGCAUUUGGAACUGUGCUGCUAGAGUGUCGGAGAGGCAGGCGGAAUUCCUAGUGUAGCGGUGGAAUGCGUAGAUAUUAGGAGGAACACCAGUGGCGAAGGCGGCCUGCUGGACGAUGACUGACGUUGAGGCUCGAAAGCGUGGGGAGCAAACAGG